rnacentral:rRNA from 1 species
CCAGACUCCUACGGGAGGCAGCAGUGGGGAAUAUUGCACAAUGGGGGGAACCCUGAUGCAGCGACGCCGCGUGAGUGAAGAAGUAUUUCGGUAUGUAAAGCUCUAUCAGCAGGGAAGAAAAUGACGGUACCUGACUAAGAAGCCCCGGCUAACUACGUGCCAGCAGCCGCGGUAAUACGUAGGGGGCAAGCGUUAUCCGGAUUUACUGGGUGUAAAGGGAGCGUAGACGGUUAUGCAAGUCUGAAGUGAAAGCCCAAGGCUCAACCAUGGGACUGCUUUGGAAACUGUAAAACUGGAGUGCAGGAGAGGUAAGCGGAAUUCCUAGUGUAGCGGUGAAAUGCUUAGAGAUCAUACAGAACACCGAUUGCGAAGGCAGCUUACCAAGCUACUUCUGACGUUGAGGCACGAAAGCGUGGGGAGCAAACAGGAUUAGAUACCCCCGUAAA